GUGACGGUAGCUCAAAUCUGGCAGAGCACCGGGUUGUGAUCCCGGCGGGUGCGGGUUCAAAUCCCGUCCGUCACCCCA
rnacentral:tRNA from 1 species